UCACAUUUAAAAGGCUAUCGAUUAUCAACAUGCAGCACAUUCGAACGAUAACCACGGUGUGGUGCAUAAUGCCGAACAAGAAGCGCAAAGCUUCCACAAAGCUAGGAACACCUACAGCCUUUAUUAAAAGAUAACCUUACAAGAUAUAAAUCAGGUUUUAUUUGGCGCUGUAAAACGUCUUAAUCCGAGAUUGUCAAGCUGUUACUUGGUGGCCACCAAGUAGCAAUUUUUUCCACCAAAUUUUCUAUUAUGGGUAUAGAACUCUUAACCAAUCCCGCCAACCUUAAUCCGCCUAAUCCGUCGCGCUAAGUUUCCAUAUGGAACGUAUUAAGCCUUAAUCCGUGACUUAAUCCAACUGGAAGCACCCCCUUAGGGAUAACAUGACUGUUUGCUUCUCGUGAAAGUAUGUUCUGUCGAGGAAUAGCAUCAAUCAAGCUCCUUUGAAAAUGAACAUGGACGGCUCGUGCGACAGAGCGGGGGCCCCUUCGCCACUGCGCCGACACCUACGGAAGGUACGUACCGUAGCCGCUGACAUCCUUGAGAAUAUGGCGGGUGCCUCCUUUGACAUCUUUCGUGGUCUGCGACAGAUAUGCGAAGGGAUUCUGCGUGCUUGAACUACGCAUGCACGGGCGACAUAGCCAUCUCAAGCCACUCACGACGUUCAGGUUCUCCCAAGUUAGCGUUG
rnacentral:lncRNA from 1 species